UACGUAGGUGGCAAGCGUUGUCCGGAUUUACUGGGCGUAAAGGGAGCGUAGGCGGAUAUCUAAGUGGGAUGUGAAAUCCCCGGGCUCAACCCGGGAGCUGCAUUCCAAACUGGAUAUCUAGAGUGCAGGAGAGGAGAGUGGAAUUCCUAGUGUAGCGGUGAAAUGCGUAGAGAUUAGGAAGAACACCAGUGGCGAAGGCGACUCUCUGGACUGUAACUGACGCUGAGGCGCGAAAGCGUGGGGAGCAAACAGG
rnacentral:rRNA from 1 species